AGCACCCGAUCCCCGACCCGAGAGCUGUGGCCUGGGCCUGGCAGGGUGGACGGCUCCUGGGUCACCAUCUCAGGGGCCCACAAGGCUUUGGCCUUGGAGCCGGUUCUGCUGUUUUACUUCAGGCCCUGGCGGUCCUCGUUUUCCGCUUGACCUUGCCCCCACUAAAACAGGGAAUAUUCCGGGAAAGAAAGAGGGAACCUGCGGAGCCUCGGUCAGUUUGGAGGAGUCACGUAUCACACGGGAAACCAGCACACAGGACACAACAAAACCCGACCGAGAGAAGCGUCCUUUACAGAGCGCACGGGCUGGGAGCAUGUUUGAAAGAAGACAGACCAGUCUAUUUUUGUGGUUGUUUUUAAAUAAAAGGAAGAAAUAAGGGGAACCGUAUGUUUCAAACAGUUAUUUCCGUUUCUCCAUCGCCUUCUUCCAAAGCGAACUAAACUCUCCACCCCUUCCUCAGGAAACGGAAUCUGGAGAACAACUUGUCUUUCCCGUCGCCCCACAUUUUUCCUUGGACAGAGCCUAGGGUUCAGACUUUCCGAAGGGCUGGAGUUUGGCGGGGAAAGGACUGGAGCCCAGCGCCCUGGCGUGGAGGAGUGAGGAGGCUAGACCGCUUCUAAGGAGGCCCAAGCCCGCUGCGGCUAGAAGCCCGCAGAAAGAAAUCCGCCGAAUUUCCCCAUCCAGGAGUGGAGAGAGAAGACGCAGGGAUUCCUGAACCUCCGGAAAACUGGAAGGAAAUGUAGAGUGUAUGAUUUGCUUGCAGGACCGGCCAGGGGAGAUUUGAAAUGGUUUUGUGUUUUCAUUUGCCGGGUCACCGUGGCCUCAGCAUGGGGGUUAUCCAGGGCAAGGUUAGGCUGUUUAGGCCCCAGACUUGGGACAGUCCGGGCAGCAGUCAAUCCAGGGAGCCAUUUGUCCCACCGCCCAUCCCGCGGGAAACGGGCAAGACUUUAUGGCCACUCUGUUUGUAUUAUCUGCAUUAGUCUUUCCCCACCAGUUUGAUCGAAACCGUUCCCUUUUACGAGGACCCAACGAAAAUUUCCCGUCAUAUUUAUCAGCCAGGGAUAAAAAUUUAGUAUGGGAACUGAUAUUUCCUCACUUAUGGGACGAUGAAAUUAAAUACCAAAGCAAUUGAGAAUUAUAUGGCUUUGGGGGUUCCCUCCCCCCUCUUUUACGUCUCCUUUAUUUUCCUGCCUGGUGUGCUUUUCCUAGGAAUUUAGCGUCCCAGUUCCCUACCCUUACCCCCCACUUUGGAGUCUGGUGGGUCUUUUUCCCCACGGCCAAGUGGCCCUUGGCCACCUCAGCCUUUUCUUUUUUUUUCUCUAGGUGUUAGUAGCUGGGGGCCAGGACAGUGCUACCCGAGCCUCUGCCCAGGCCAGCCAGGACAGGCUGGGAUCAGAGAAAGGUUUCCAGGGAAGAGCCGCAAAGGGUUUGAGCCCAGCCUGGGAGGGGGUGAAGGAGUCGGCAGCAAAGUGUGAAGGAGAUAAACUUCAGACAAGCCCCAAGGCGUAGCCUGGGGAACCAGCAGACAGGGAGCAGACCUAUCGGCCUCAGGGGCCCCACCACCCAACCUCUUUCCAAGCCCAUCUCUCACCUUAGCCAACGGAGAGGACAGAGUCGCUUCGGAAUUCUCGCCAUCAUUAACGAAAAUAAUACUCCAGGGAGGAGCCUCCCGCCUCGACUCCCACCUCCUCACAAGAAAGAAUAGUGUUUAAAGUUGAAAUAAUUAGAAGUAUGAUAAACACGGCCCAUUAAUGAAAAAAGAAAUCAAAUUCAUCAGAUUAAGUGGGACCCCCGGUGGGACAAAUGUUUGCCUCUAAUUACGCAAGAUAAACGAAAACCGGGAGCUGCUAAACUAGAGCCCGCUCGGACGCAGACCUGAAUAACUUGUUGGGUUUUCACAGACUUGGAGAUUCUGCUUCAGUGGAGGUAAAAGGAAGGAAAAAGUGAGUGUUUUAUCCUGGCGAAGGGAGCAUUUGUGCGGGCCUGGGUCCCAGCCCUGCCCCCUUGGGCUCGGUCUUUCCCGAGGCCACGAGCAAAGGCUGUUUCGGUCCUAUUGUCCGGGCCUGGCGUUCAAAGGCAUGCGGGCCGCCACAACCACCCCGCCUGCCGCCACUGCCAGGCACCCACCGCCCUGCCCCACAGGGCCAAGACCCUUCAGCCUGUGCCCUUGGCAACUGGAUUAGGAUCCAGGGGAGGCCUGUGUUGCUAGAAUCACCCACAUAUGGACUCUUAUUAAUCCAUUUCCCCAACUUUCCGAGGGUGCCGAGACACCUAUGCCUAUGUCUAAGUCUGGGGCUCCCCCUUCUUACCUCAACUUGGGAACAUGAAAAUCCAGGGGCUGCAAGCCACAGUGGGGCUCAGGCUGUGCAUACGACCUGACAAAUCCCACCCAGGGCCAAUGCCCUGGCCCCUUUCUCCCUUCCCGGGUACCCAGAUCCUGGAAAGGCAGCAAGGACGGGGCUGGGCCUCCUUCUGCCUGUGAGGCUGUGAGCAAUGCAGAGGAGGAGGGUUCAGGAGCUCUGUGAAUACUCUGGGAGGAUCCAGCGGGUUCCACAGGGCAGCCCAAGGGCUGGGGCGCUAGGGGUCCCCACGUGAAAGCAGAAGAAGGAAAAUAUGCUCAAUGAACAAAAAAGGACCUUGGUUACUUUCCUGGCUGUAGCCCUCAACACACCCCAGAAGCACCCUGGUUUCUCCAGCAAAAAAUUGGAGUUUCCCCAACAGGUUAAGAAAGUCAACUGGGAAAUUCUGAAAAGAUGAAGUGAAAAAGGAAGAAUUUCUUUCCCUUUUGGGUUAAAUAAUAAGAUAAAAAUAAAGUG
rnacentral:sRNA from 1 species